rnacentral:rRNA from 1 species
CAAUAGCGUAUAUUAAAGUUGUUGCGGUUAAAAAGCUCGUAGUUGGAUUUCUGCUGAGAACGACCGGUCCGCCCUUUGGGUGUGUAUCUGGCUCUUUCUUGGCAUCUUCUUGGUGAACGUUGCUGCACUUGACUGUGUGGAGCGCUACCCAGGACUUUUACUUUGAGGAAAUUAGAGUGUUUCAAGCAGGCAUACGCCUUGAAUACAUUAGCAUGGAAUAAUAAGAUAGGACCUCGGUUCUAUUUUGUUGGUUUCUAGAGCUGAGGUAAUGAUUAAUAGGGAUAGUUGGGGGCAUUCGUAUUUAACUGUCAGAGGUGAAAUUCUUAGAUUUGUUAAAGACGGACUACUGCGAAAGCAUUUGCCAAGGAUGUUUUCAUUGA